ACAGAUUGUAUUAAUAACAUCUUGAAUGGAGUAGGCAUAUAACCAGAUUAUCUGGUAACAAUUUUUAUUUUUACACCUUUCAUUCAUAUUAUUCUCCUACACUUAUAGAUGUUGUAUAACAUCUCUAGUAGUACAUCUAGAUAACUUAUUUAAUGCCAUCUCACGUAGAGUACAUUUUCAGACAAUUUAUCUCAACAUUCUUUUUGGAAACCAACUUUCUACACUUACUCCAGCUUCUUUCAACACCAAAUUCAUAGAGACCAAUCAAGGCGAGGGUGGUGGGCAGUAACCUUGAUUAAUAUUUACAUCACGACAACGCGGGCCACUGUAGCGGCCACGAUGGGGCCAAAGACCAUCACGAAGUUGCAUUGGCCUUGGGAGCUUCGAAUCCCUUUCCUCUAUCUGCUGACCAUGAGCAAUGUUCUCUGCCGGAUCAGCCAACACUGGGGAGGAAACGAAAGUCGAGGCAAGAAGCAUAAAGAUAAUGAAAAAUGCCUUGUUAGCCAUUCCCAUCUCUCACUCUUUG
rnacentral:misc_RNA from 1 species